GUUCCUGAAGGAUAACAAGAUUAGCAUUUUGCUUUAACACGCACGCGAGUAUUUUACUUUGAUUGGUUUUCACCAUACCAACUAUUAUCAUGAGCUUGGAGAAUAGAAGUAUCAUUUCACUCUGCUUUCAAAAUGUAUUGAAGAUCAAUUUCAUCGCUGUAAACUUGAGGAGUAAAAGAAGCGUGAUGCAAUGGAGUUGAACAGUGCCUGACGAGUUACUCUAACAAACCUACCAAGUUAGACACACUAAGAUUGUGAAACGUAAGGACAUACCAAUUCAGUAACCCUCACAAUGGCAGAGUCUAGGAUCAUCCACACACAAAUGUUGAGGGAAACUCGUUCAAAAAAAGUUCGGAGAGCAUCCGGAGAUGGAAUGGCAAGAAAACAUUUUUGAGCUACAUUAUGAGAUACUGCUUUCAAGUUACGAACCAGGAGUGAUCACACCCUUCCUGCAGUUCAGGUUAAG